rnacentral:rRNA from 1 species
CCCUUAGAUGUUCUGGGCCGCACGCGCGCUACACUGACGAUGGCAACGAGUUUUUCCUUCGCCGAAAGGUGUGGGUAAUCUUUUGAAACAUCGUCGUGCUGGGGAUAGAUCAUUGCAAUUUUUGAUCUUGAACGAGGAAUUCCUAGUAAGCGCGAGUCAUCAGCUCGCGUUGAUUACGUCCCUGCCCUUUGUACACACCCCCCGUCGCUACUACCGAUUGAAUGGUUUAGUGAGGACUCCUGAUUGGCGCCGCCGCCCCGGCAACGGAGCAGCGGACUGCCGAAAAGUUGUUCAAACUUGAUCAUUUAGAGGAAGUAAAAGUCGUAACA